rnacentral:lncRNA from 1 species
UCUUUCUUUUCGCCAUCUUUUGUCUUUCCGUGGAGCUGUCGCCAUGAAGGCUGCUAAGGAAGCAAAAAAGGCUAAGCAAGCAUCUAAAAAGACUGCAAUGGCUGCUGCUAAGGCACCUACAAAGGCAGCACCUAAGCAAAAGAUUGUGAAGCCUGUGAAAGUUUCAGCUCCCCGAGUUGGUGGAAAACGCUAAACUGGCAGAUUAGAUUUUUAAAUAAAGAUUGGAUUAUAACUCUAG